GUAUAGCUCAGUGGUAGAACGCAUGCUUAGCAUGCAUGAGGUCCUUGAGGUCCUGGGUUCAAUCCCCAGUAC
rnacentral:tRNA from 1 species